rnacentral:lncRNA from 1 species
CAAAAUGGUGAUAUAUAUCACUCAAAAACACUCAUAUUAGUGUUAUAGAGGACAUAUAUUAGUUUAAGGUUACAAAACUUUUCAAAACUCAAGUAAUUUCACAUUCAGUACCAAAAUAGUCGCAAGUAUGGUCGGUAAAUAGUUGCAAAACUUGUCACAAAAUAGUCGCAAACAGGCAAAUAGUUCCAAAAUGGUGGCAAAUUUGCGACGGUUGUGUGACUGUGAUCUAUUAGUCACAAGGCAAAAUUUUGAAAUCUACACAUUUCGAUCCAAAAUGGUGACAUAUAUCACUCUAUAACACUCAUAUUAGGGUUAUAGAGGACAUAUAUUAGUUUAAGGUUACAAAACUUUGCAAAACUCAAGUAAUGUAGAGUUUUUACUAAAUCCCUAAACAUUACUCAUAUGAGUAAUGUAAUAUCAUAAAGAGAUUUGUUUGUUUUUGAUAUUUUGUUUCUAAACAUCAGUAUUUAUGACUUUGGUUAAGAUUUUCUUGAUGAGUAAUAUCAAAUAAGUGUAGAAAUGUUUAACUUUAUAUGUAAGCAAAUUUAAAAUGUGAAAAGUGAGAAAACAAAAAUCGAGAGUUGGCAAAUAGUCGCAUAUGGGUCGCAAUCUCAGGUGCUAGUCGCAAAACAGUCGCAAAAUCUUCAGGUGCUAGUCGCAAAUGACCGACUAGUUAGCGACUAAGAGAAAAUUGGUGGAG